AACGCUAGCUACAGGCUUAACACAUGCAAGUCGAGGGGCAGCGCAGUGUAGCAAUACAUGGGCGGCGACCGGCGCACGGGUGCGUAACGCGUAUCCAACCUUCCCGUUACUCAGGGAUAGCCUUCCGAAAGGGAGAUUAAUACCUGAUGGUGUUUGAAUUCCGCAUGUUAUUCAAACUAAAGAUUUAUCGGUAACGGAUGGGGAUGCGUGACAUUAGAUAGUAGGCGGGGUAACGGCCCACCUAGUCUACGAUGUCUAGGGGUUCUGAGAGGAAGGUCCCCCACACUGGAACUGAGACACGGUCCAGACUCCUACGGGAGGCAGCAGUGAGGAAUAUUGGUCAAUGGUCGGAAGACUGAACCAGCCAAGUAGCGUGAAGGAUGAAGGUUCUAUGGAUUGUAAACUUCUUUUAUACGGGAAUAAAACCUCCCACGUGUGGGAGCUUGUAUGUACCGUAUGAAUAAGCAUCGGCUAACUCCGUGCCAGCAGCCGCGGUAAUACGGAGGAUGCGAGCGUUAUCCGGAUUUAUUGGGUUUAAAGGGAGCGUAGACGGGAGAUUAAGUCAGUUGUGAAAGGCUGCGGCUCAACCGCAGCACUGCAGUUGAUACUGGUUUCCUUGAGUUCGGUUGAGGUGUAUGGAAUUCGUGGUGUAGCGGUGAAAUGCUUAGAUAUCACGAAGAACUCCGAUUG
rnacentral:rRNA from 1 species